UAACACGAUAAACGUUAUCUGACCCUUUUUCGACCUUCGACUUUUAAAACCGGGUGGUGGGAAGAUCGGUAGUUUAGAAACUGGUAUAAGGACCGGAAGACACACUGCAGCGGUGAAGUUACGAAAACCAUUCUCGUUAACAAUAUCUGCAGGACACUUGCAUAGCAAAGGGAAAACCACUGGCUCACCAACUGUCAAAUUAGUUGGAUUUAAACUCGGGUUCAUAUCCUCAACCGCGUGAUAAUUGGUCAGAUUUUGAAACACAGACGUCGCGACAACAUAAAAGCUAUCACCCUUUUUAAUCGAAUGUGUAACAUUCGCGAAAUAACUAUUUUCGUUACAACUACAUUUAACGGGUUUGACAGGAGCGCGGCGAGUCAGCAGAACACGUAA
rnacentral:lncRNA from 1 species